rnacentral:lncRNA from 1 species
ACCAUUGUUGGAGUCAAAAUCGGUCAUGACGGAAUCAAUGUCUGAAAGUCCGUCAAAAUCGGCAUGAACGUUUUUACGAAAAGUAAUCUUGCGUUAAAAUCUUAUUCGAAUCUCGGUCGAACCAAAUACAGAUUGUCCCAAGACAACGGACACGUAUCCGACUGGCCAUGGACGAGCUCGAGCAUGAUAAUCAGACCGCGGACAAGCCAAGCCCGAUCAAUACGCGGAGACCAAGCAUGCACAUGGCUCGGUCGUUACGUAACGACCUCGAGCCAAGCUCGGUCGCUACGUAGCGACCGAGAACGUCUA